rnacentral:rRNA from 1 species
GAAGACGGACUAAUACCCAAUGAUAUUCAUUGAUGACAUCUGAUUUGAAUUAAAGAUUUAUCGGUAUAGGAUGGGGAUGCGUCUGAUUAGCUUGUUGGUGAGGUAACGGCUCACCAAGGCCACGAUCAGUAGGGGUUCUGAGAGGAAGGUCCCCCACAUUGGAACUGAGACACGGUCCAAACUCCUACGGGAGGCAGCAGUU